GUUGGCUGACUAGUCUUUUUAGUCUUCUGUUUUGCAUCAGUUUGGCAGAAACACUGAGGAACUGAAACGUUUGCAGCACCUUUACAUUUUAUUUUUUGAAUUUAUUUUUGCACUUCAACGGUGGAUUGGGUUUUAACCCGCUUCUAGUUAUUUGCUUCAUGUCUGCUAUUUUUAACAUUCUGUGCAGGAGAAACAUGCGAUGGUUCUUGGUCGCCACAAGAUGGCAAUGUCCUCCCUCUUCAAUCCAUGACGCUUUACGUGGCGCAGGCCAAACCGCAAAGUUCAUUGAAUGAACACAGCCCGACUCAGCCAAUUUACACAUCUCAUAAACUACCCUGACAGGCAAAUGAACUCUACAGCCACACAAGAAAGAGAAAUGAGGAGAACGGGCUUUGAAUUGUACAGCCUAUCAGCACGGAGAACACAGCAAUAACCAUCCAUCACUGUGACCAUUAUCAAGGUUGCCACGACAACUUGUCUCCGGGGGCAACAUCUGCUAUGUCUCUUCAGUUUAUGACUGUCUGCAAGGCCCUUGAUUUUAAACCACUGGGACUGUUGUAACCGGUGCGCUGGCUAUGAAAAUGCAUGCGUGACAACAUUCAUAACCGUGUCUGCAGUUUGCAAGGGCCGUGGAGGUUUAUUUUCAGAAAAUGACAAUGGCCACAGAUGUUCUGCUGGAAAGUCCAUAGCCAUGCUGCGAAUAUAUGAAACAUGAAAUAAUUUUCCUGAGAAUGAGAAUGCCUUCUCACAUUUAUUCAAGGAAAGUUUUUUUUUUCUUUUUUCAAAAUAAGCAGCAGUGACAAUGAAGGUAGGCCUGUUCAGAAAACAGCCCAUGAAAUAGACUUAAUAAGAGGCUUUAUAGUAGCCUAGUGUUUUCACAGUUGCCAGAGAUGUCAUUGAGCAAAUACCAUGUAUGAUAACAGCAGCGGUUGUAGAAGUUAAUAUGUUGCUCUCAAAUUUGUUCUCACACAGCACCAGUUCUAUUUUUCUGUUUCUGAUUAAUUAAUCAUCUCCUUUUCUUGCGCACGAAAAGCGACUUAUUUUCAUUAAGAGGGAACGACUCAGCCACACACACAACGAGUGAAGGAGUGAAUCACUGAUGUGACGUUUCCAGCUUAAUCAGGUGGCCAUCGGUGCCUUUUUAAAAGCCCUAAAUUUUAACCUGUAUAGAACAGGACCCUGCUGUGCUAAGGUAG